rnacentral:lncRNA from 1 species
AUGGAAACAAUGCCCGCUAGAGACAGAUUCUCUGAUUUUUGUUUCUUUGUUUUUUGUUUUUUGCUUUUCCUCAAAAAAGGCUGGAUGUUGCAGAAGAAACUUUUCUCUCUUUUCCUUUCCUCUGAGCAUUCUUCUGUAUCUCCUGCACAUGACAGCAAACAACUGAUUGGGGACUCAAGAUGGCGCUGUGAGAACAACCCAGGAUUGGAGCUCUCGUUGUGUCCGCCGAGAGGGACAUGGAUGAAUCUGGAGAACAUCAUCCUCAGCAAACUGACACAAGAACAGAAAAUGAAACACCGCAUAUUCUCACUCAUAGGUGGGUGAUGAAAAAAGAGAACACAUGGACACAGAAAGGGGAGUACUAAACACUGGGGUCUAUUGGGGGGAAAAGGGGAGGGCCAGUGGGAGGGGGAGGUGGGGAGGGAUAGCCUGGGGAGAAAUGCCAAAUGUGGGUGAAGGGGAGAAGAAAAGCAAAGCACACUGCCAUGUGUGUACCUUCGCAACUGUCUUGCAUGCUCUGCUCAUGUACCCCAAAACCUAAAAUCCAAUAAAAAAUUAAAAAAAAAAAUACUCUACCUUUUUUGAGUCUUGGUGGGAAAGUUUAGAUGUUUCUCAUAAAGUGUCAUUGAUCCUUGGGAGACACAUAUUGUAGUGUUCCAUGCUCACCUGGAGAGUCCAGGAACUGCUAGAAACUAACAGUGAGAAGUAAAGAACUACUUAGAUGUAAUCCCAGCUACUCAGGAGGCUGAGGUAGGAGAAUUGCCUCAACCCAGGAGGCGGAGGUUGCGGUGAGCCGAGAUCACGCCACUGCACAAUCUGGGUAACAAGAGCGAAAAUCCAUCUAAAAAAAAAGAACUGCUUAGAACACCUGGCAAAAGGGAAGAACUGAUCGACAAAGGAAGAUAAGACUUGAAUUAAACAGACAAUGAGACAAAACAGCCAAAAGGCAGGAUGAUUUCGCUAGAGCCUUGAUGAGUUACUAGAGUUACUACACUGAUAAGCCGCAAACAAAGUAGAGAACCUGCUCAGGUCUUAGGCUUCUGAGCCAGCUCUGUAAUGAGAUAGAAUAUGCUCAGAGGUCUCUCCUACACUCCUCUAAGAAUCCUGGGAAAUGGAUCUUCCAUUUAGCUACUUGAUAAUAAAAUUCAGCUCCUCAUUUUCAGGUAGUUUAAAGAAUGAGCAGUAGCAAAUGUCAUAGUAAAAGCCUGAAAAAUGGAAACAAUUAAGGAAAUGAUCAUGAAACCCUAAAACCAUUUAUUUCCAAGAUUGAAUCAUAAAAAUGUAGGCUAAAUACUUCAUAGCAGUAAUCGUGGUGAUGAGGGUAAAAAAGACUACUGCAAGCAAAGAAAUUUCAAUUCCCAUAUGGAUACCCUAAGAGAAAUGAGGCUUUAGCCCAAAAGCAAUAUCGAAACUUGUUUUUAAAAUAUAUAAUCUUGUUAAGUUAUUUUCUAGAUAAUUUGCAUUCGUGGGUUUAUUCUGAGUAAAUUUCCCCAGAGAGAUGUCUGGGGAUUUAGAGAGUAUAAAUAGGGUUAGAGCAAGAGAUGGAAACGACACUCAGAAAUUAUACAGGGGUCAAAUGGAAACUCCCUGUAGGCGAAAUGUUUUUCAAUCCAUCGGAUAUUCCUAGUGUCUCUAAAAGGAGUAGUUUAAUUUCGGGCAGGGAUAAUGUGGGAAGUGGAAGGGUAGGGGUGGGAGAAAUCCUGGUAUUCUUUAAUGAGAAGACUAGAAAGGGAAAGGAAGAAUAUAAAAUCCAACUUUUGUUCCUCUAUCUGAUUGUCCUAAAGCAUUUCCAAAUAGAUAAGACCUUUUCAAGAAUACUUUUCAGAAAAAAAGUCACUCAGCCUCCAAAUAGACCCUGACUUCCAAUGACAUAAAAGUUUUGGGAAGACCCUUGGGUAGUGGACUUUAAUUAAAACUGAAGUGUAGUAAGUUACCUAUAGGGUGGAAAUAGAAAUGUUCAUAAAUUCGAUGAUGUAAAUAUUUUUAAGGAAAAUUAAAAAUUCAAUAUUUCACAUUUCCUUCCUCCCUCCCUUCUCUCCCUCUUUUCCCUUCCUCCCUUCUUUCCCUUCCUUCCUUCUUUCCCUCCCUCCUUCCCUCCUUCCCUCCCUCCCUCCCUCCCUCCCUCCCUCCCUCCCUCCCUCCCUCCUUCCUUCCUUCCUUCCUUCCUUCCUUCCUUCCUUCCUUCCUCCCUCUCUCUUUCUCUCUCUCUCUUUCUUUGAGUCUUGCUCUGUUGCACAGGCUGAAGUGCAGUCGUGUGAUCAGGGCUCACUGCAGCCUCCACCUCCCAGGCUCAGGUGAUCCAACCCCCUCAGCACCCCCUGGGGACUACAGGUACUAGCCACCACACCUGUUUGUUUGUUUCUUUGAUUUUUAGUAGAGAUGCUGUCUCACUCUGUUGCCCGGGCUGGUCUUGAACUCCUGAGCUCAAGUGAUCCUCCUACUUCAGCCUCCCAAAGCUCUGGGAUUAUAGACAUCAGCUACCACAACUGGCCUAAAUAUUCUUUUUUUUAGGAUAAAAAAUUUGGAAAACAACAUUACAAAACAUAACUGAAGUAUAGCAAAAAGACUAUUAAAGAGAAACUUUUAUGAGAAACAAGUCUUUGAGUUUAGGUUAAGAACUCAGCAUGAAUCCUGUAUCUGUGAGCCCCAAGAUGGGAGAAGAGGGAUUCAUAGGCACAGUUUCCUUCUUUUCAAAAGAGGAUACAUUGUAGUAUCCCUCUGAUGUUUUGUGAUGUGAGCAGAUCUCCAUGCUGUGUAAGCCACAGUUUAUGAAACUUAGUAUUUAUUAUGUCAGAGUCACUGUUCUAAUCAAAUACAACUUGAGAAAAAUUUAGUUUUAAUACAUUUAAGUUUUAUUAACACGUUAUAUACAGAAAUAUCAUACUACAUAAUAAUUAGACAUAAAUAUUAACUCUAUAAAAUUUUUAAUUCAUUUUGUCAUUUCUUCAACAUCUAAAACCGAGGACAAUUUUUAUGAUGUCCCUAAUGCCAAGUACCAUUUAACUGUCAUCCUUUUUUCCUUAACUUUCUCAUCAUGUAGGUGCUUCUGGGUCAGGUUUUGCCCCUUGGUAUUUGGGCCCAUGCCCCCGGGCUGGGGUUUUCCUCUAAGUAUUUUACCCAACAUCCCUCCACUCAUAUUGGAAGAUUUGAGCAGUUGCUUUCUGUCCUUGCCCCUGCUCAUUGUAUCUCAGGUGGUGAAGUCUUGAAGUGGCAGGAACUUGGGCAUGAAAUUAAACUGCAGACUUUAACAGAAGGGCAACAGUUACAUGACAAAGUUGUAGGUGAGGAAGAGAGCAACUAAGGAGGCAGAAAGGAAAGUGAGGAGGGAAGGAGGGAGUGGGUCUGGUGAGAACAGGCUGGGGCUUCCUGGAGACCUUAGAUUCUGCUCUAAAUUAGACCAAAGCAAGCAAGAGGAGAUAUGCCAUAAUAAGAAAUAGAUAUAUUUGGUUUCUGCUCCUAUUUCCUGGCCGAGGCUCCUAAAAUGCUUGAACUCUCCUAAGUGACAAGUGCCUUUUUGUAUGCUAAUGAGAUGACUAGGGGGUCCUGGAAAGCUUCAGGAUGCCAGCUGGAACCAACCUAGUGAUUAGAGGUUUGGAACUUUCAACCUCAUCCCCUCAUAUCUCAGAAGGGGAGAGGAUAGGAGCUGAAGGUUGACUUGAUCACUGAUGGCCAGUGAUUUAUCAAUCAUGCCUGUGUAGUGAAGCUUACAUACAAACCUCAAACGACAGGGUUUGGAGGACUUCCAGGUUGCUUGAACACAGGGAGGUACAGGGAGGUCGGCACACUAGACAGGGUGUGGAAGCUCAGUGCACAUCACACAUGUCCUGUCCUGGGCAUCUCUUCCAUCUGGCUGUUCAUCUGUAUCUUUUGAAAUAUCCUUUAUAAUAGACCAGUAAAUACAAGUAAAUGUCCCCCUGGUCAACUGGUAAACAUAUGUCAAUUUUUCCCCGAGUUCUGUGAGCCAUUCUAGCAAAUGAUCAAACCAGAGGAGGGAGUUAUGGGAACCUCAUAGCUGCUCAGUCAGAAGCACAGGUGCCAAUGUGGAGUUUAUGAUUGGCAUCUGAAGUUGGGAGAAGUCUCGUGGGACUGAGCCCUUAAUUUGCAGGAUCCAAACUAACUCUGGUUAAUGUUAGAAUUGAGUUAAAUUGUAGGACAUCUAAUUGGUGUUAGAGAAUUGAUCAAUAUGGAGAAAAGUCCACACACAUUUCGGUGACUGAAAGUGUCCUGUGUUGAGAGCAUAGUAGGAGAAAACUGUUUGUUUUCCUAUUAUACAAGAGACCUCUUUGGAACUGUAGUGGAUGAUGUUGUAUGUCACUCAGAUCUCCUUCAUGGCUUAAGCCUUGUUCCCUCCAGAUGCCAGGAAUGCCGCUGGCUGGCAGCCCCAAGCUGGCAGCCCUCUUGGAAGUGCCUUGCCCAUGGUCACACUCCAUUUGUAGCACCUUGUAUUCAACGACCUGUCAAUUAUAAAGACCAUCACCUCACCCUAGGAAAGGACAUCUCUAAAGGUUCAUCUCAGCUUCAGUGUUCACUAUAGGGUGAGUUGAGGCUUUCAUUGAGACUAUGCCACAGCCCAAUAUCUCCAUGAUUUCUUCCUUUUCCUUCCCCAGGUGGUGAUGCUGUGGCAUGCCAGGCCUCUGUUACAUCUGUCCCAGCACUGGCUGAGUAGCUAGGUUAAACAUUAAAAGCUGAUUGAGCCAGUGCCCUUAUACAAAGACCAGAAUGUAACAAAGAGCCCACCAAGAGUCUUGCCUAGGCUUUUCCUGUCCCUUGAAGCAUGACAAGAUAAUGAAGGAAUUCUUAUCAGGACCCUUUUAGGAUUAAACAAGUUUUAUUAGGGGUCUGAAGAUACUCCCCAGGCCUCCACAAACAAGUUUCCUGGGGUCUAAAGAAACUCCCCAAACCUUUAUAAUUUAGCAGGAGACAAGAUAAGGUAGUCACCCCAGUACUUAGACCCAUUUAGAUUAAGUACCCUUUCUGAAGCUCCAGAAGAAGGUCUUCAGGACUCAGACCUUAGUUACAGAUUAAAAGAAGUCAAUUACUUAUGUCUUUGGAUGAAUGCACACUUACACAUAGACAUAUAGCUUAGAAGGUAUAUAAGCUCUGGAAAACUUUGCAAUUUUGAGUCGGUCUGGCAAUAAUUUCCAGGCCUUCUCCCUGUAACCAGUUACAGAAAUAAAAACUCUCUUUCUUCUCAGUUCAUCGGCAUCUCAUUAUUGGGCCACAAGAAGUAGCAUCCCUACCCUCAGUUUGGUCUGGGAACAAAAUUUGGUGUGCCAGCCAAGAGAGACCAGGAUGGUGCUACGUUCA